GUGAAAGCCUGGUAAGCCAGUGAGUUGUAAGGCUACAGGAGUAAAAUAGACCCUAAAUAAGAUAGAUUAUUUGUUAUAGACCAAAAGCCAGAGUUAAUCAAAAACGCAAGCCAUCACCGUUAGCCGGUGAAAUUACAAUCUGAAGAAAAGGUCCGUGCUAUUUCCGGACCUUUUCUUUUUCUUGUGGCCUCGGGUGCAACGCCCGGAGGACCGCUUCUCGUUCUCAGCAGCUUCAACGACGACCGGCGGCUAGGAAGAAAUCGCCUACGUGACUCAACGGACGACCUGAAUUGUAAAUCACCCGACGGAGAACCACGCGGACUGGUACGAAGUGAUUACCCAAGUCGAAUACAGUCGUCGAUUGGUCCGUGAGCGGCCGUGGCAACGUAGACGAGACCCCAGCAUUCGUCGAGCGUGACAGAACGCCAUCCAGCCGGUGAAACACGCUUCGAAACUCUCACGCGGAGCGAAAAACGUCGCCAUUCCAGCCAGCGUACCGCUUCCAAGAUAUUCGGUCGGUCCGUGCAAGGACAUAACAUCGUUGACCAAAACCACCGCAGUCGCCGAACGUGACAGAACGCCAGUUGAACACGCAUCGAAACUCGCUGGUAGCGAAAAGCGUCGUCAUCGUCCGCAGCCAGCUAGUCCAGUCAGCGUCCGAGGUAUUCAAUCGGUCUGGGCACGACCGUGUCAUCGUCGACCAAACUCCUGCAUUUCCGGAACGUGACCUGAAGCCAUCCAACCAGUCGAAAACGGUUCGAAAAGCUCGCUCGAAGUGUAAAGCGUCGUCGUCGUCGGUCCGAAGCCAACCGACAAGCCUUAGUUCCGCUUCCAAUGUCCCCGAUCGGUCCGUGAGCGACCAUAGCAACGUAGAUUCCACCGGAGGGCCCUCCCCAGCGAACAGCAUGCCAACGUAGAACAUCGAACAAUGCAAGUACACCUAUUAUUGUCUCUCUCCCCAUAAAACGGCCCAAUGGCCUAAUAAAACAAUAAUGUUAAGUUAA